rnacentral:rRNA from 1 species
UACGUAGGGUGCGAGCGUUGUCCGGAAUUAUUGGGCGUAAAGAGCUUGUAGGCGGUCUGUCGCGUCUGCUGUGAAAAUCCGGGGCUCAACCCCGGACUUGCAGUGGGUACGGGCAGACUAGAGUGCGGUAGGGGAGACUGGAAUUCCUGGUGUAGCGGUGAAAUGCGCAGAUAUCUGGAGGAACACCGGUGGCGAAGGCGGCAUCCUGGACCGGCAUUGACGCGUGAGGCGCGAAAGCUAGGGAGCAACGGG